UUUGUUCGGACUUUCUUAAGUGCUCGUGCACGUCUGUGUGUGGGCGGAGCCCCGAGGGCAGGAGGAGGGGUUAGACGGAGCCCCGAGGAGAUGCUAACUUUGGCCAACAUUACCACCCUAC